UACGGGGGGAGCAAGCGUUGUUCGGAUUUACUGGGCGUAAAGGGCGCGUAGGCGGCCAGCACAAGUCAGUUGUGAAAUCUCCGAGCUUAACUCGGAAAGGUCAACUGAUACUGUGCGGCUAGAGUGCGGAAGGGGCAACUGGAAUUCUUGGUGUAGCGGUGAAAUGCGUAGAUAUCAAGAGGAACACCUGCGGCGAAGGCGGGUUGCUGGGCCGACACUGACGCUGAGACGCGAAAGCGUGGGGAGCGAACAGG
rnacentral:rRNA from 1 species